UUAAUUAAAAUAAAAACACUAGUAGAAAGAAUGAAUUGCGCAGCGCACUUUUCGCACCGGUUCUUGAAAACCGGUGGGAAAAGAAAUGGGCGGGGUUGGGGAAAAUAUUUUUCCCACCGGUUCCUAAUAAACUGGUGGGAAAUCAUAUUUUUCGCACCAGUUCAAACCGGUGCGAAUUACGAAAUAUAAAAAAAAAAAAAAAAACCGGGCUGCUUUUCUUCUUUCUUUCUUUCUUUCUUCUGUACUUUUACUUUCCCUCUCGUAUUCGCCUUCGUUCUCCACCCACAAUCCCGAAUUGCCCUAGCUUUCUCACUCCAUUGAAGCUGCACCUCCGCCUUCUCACUCCAUUGAAGCAGCACCUCCGCCUCCAUUGAAUCGUGCUCUAUAUUCUCCAUUGAAGUCGAAUCUGAGCUUUCUCACCUCCAUUGAACCUGCUCCUGGUGUCUGAAUUGAAAGGAGAAGAUGUGGUCUGCCUCAUCAAGAAUUCAGCUACAUUGUCUGGGCCUCUGUACACUUUGCAUGUCUCCCAAAUUUAUAUAGAUCGACCAACCCUGACAGAAAAGGAUAAAGAGGUGAUAAAAACAUGGGGUGCUCGGAAUAAUAUUGAUUUCCUCACUUUGUCAUAUACCCGCCAUGCUGAAGAUAUCCGUGAGGCUCGGGAGUUCCUUUCUAAUCAUUGUGAUCUACAGCAGACUCAAAUUUUUGCAAAAAUUAAAAAUAUUGAAGGAUUGACCCAUUUUGAUGAGAUUCUACAAGAAGCUGAUGGCAUUAUCCUCUCUCGUGGAAAUUUGGGAAUUGAUCUCCCACCGGAGAAGUAAAUUCGGGGAGUAUCUAUAUCAGGCCAUCGAAUUUUCCAAAUUUAUGCGGUAUGUAUGUCAAUUCCUGUCUAGAUUUUCUGGUAAACUGCAUGUUACUGCAGUCUUUUCAUAAUAAUUUCCAUAAUUCUGAAUUUCAUGCAAUCAUACUCUAGUACUGAGAUAAUCUUCCUAUUUAUAUUGUGGGGCAUUGGUCAGAGCUCUGAUUCUUUUGUUAAGUUGGAUUCUUACCUAUUUUACAAGGCAGAUUGAUUGACUAUUCUCACUAUCAGAAUAGCAUCAACUGCUGAACAGUUAGAGGUAAAGGAUGAAAGCAUCUUGCUCUUCAGCAAGAGUUCAGGACUGAAGAUCAAUGCUCCUGUGUAGUUGUUUAUGUUCUGUUGAUGUUAGCUGUCGGGCUGUGUCUGCUCAGCUGCUGUUGCUAACUUGCUAAGAGCUGCUGUGAGCUGCCGUUUCUGCUGUGCUGUGAUGUCGAGUUUUCCUGUGUUGGUGUUGCUAUGUUGCUGUCUGCUUCCUUUUGUAGUGCUGUGUUGCGGUUUCUGGGGUGCUGUGAUGCUGAGUUGAUGUGCUUGCUCUGCUGCUUUGGUGUUGCGCUGUGUUUUGUUAUUUUUGUAGCCUGUUGAGCUGCUUAGUUUGGGCUAUUUAAUUUAGUUAGAUGUUUGCUGUUUAUAUGCUUCAUUAGAACAGGUUUUUGGAGUAUUAGAAGUAAAUUUUGUAACUUUAUAUAUAUGUUAGUUUUUAUAUAUCAAUUUUAGUG